rnacentral:misc_RNA from 1 species
GAUGAAGAACGUAGCGAAAUGCGAUAAGUAAUGUGAAUUACAGAAUUCAGUGAAUCAUCGAAUCUUUGAACGCACAUUGCGCCCGUCAGUAUUCUGGCGGGCAUGCCUGUUCGAGCGUCAUUACGCCCCUCAAGUCCCCUGUGGACUUGGUGUUGGGGAUCGGCGAGGCUGGUUUUCCAGCACAGCCGUCCCUUAAAUUAAUUGGCGGUCUCGCCGUGGCCCUCCUCUGCGCAGUAGUAAAACACUCGCAACAGGAGCCCGGCGCGGUCCACUGCCGUAAACCCCCCAACUUUUUAUAGUUGACCUCGAAUCAGGUAGGACUACCCGCUGAACUUAAGCAUAUCAAUAAGCGGAGGA